rfam:Marine metagenome 1092963750957, whole genome shotgun sequence.
AGGAUAAAAACUGGGGGGUAUUAGAAGUUUAGAAAUAUAUAAUAAGUUUCGGCUUUUAUAAAUUUCGAAUACGGACAAAACCAACCCCAGAAGCAUAGAGUUGAGAUCGUCCACAACCUUUUGGUUGGAUCGCAACUCGAAGUUGGA